CUUUAAAAGCUGAGCUCUCUAAAGUAGCAAACACUGCUUCCACUCAUUACAUUAGCCACAACUUGGUCACAUGAGUACACCUAAUAGCAAAAGAACCUGCACACUGUAGGCUUUAGCUGGCAAUUAUCAAUACUAGGGAAGGAGAGGAAAUUAAAUAUAGGGAGACAGGCCAAACACGGUGGUUCAUGCUUGUAAUACCAGCAUUUUGGGAGGCUGAGCCAGGCAAAUCACCUGAGGUCAGGAGUUCGAGACCAGCCUGGCCAACAUGGUGGAGGUUGCAGUGAGCCGAGAUUGCACCACUGCACUCCAGCCUGGGUGACAGGGUGAGACCCUGUCUCAAAAAAUAAAUACAUAAUAUAAAUACAGGGAGACAACUAGCUGUCUGCCACAGAUCUGUGUCUUAUUCAUGAACACAGUGUCUCUGGAGCCUACCACAGUGCCUGCUCCAGAGCACCUGCUCAACAAAUACUCAUAAGAUGGAUUGAUGAAUGGACCUCACAUCUUCACGCCAUCACUGACAUCACCCAUACCUUAUUCUCACCCCUUCCCUCUCCUCUACCCAAGGCAGCUGUGGAUCCAGGAGACCAGGAGACCCAGGAGAUUUCCAGAAGCAUGAGAGUAACUUAUAAGAUUCACAUUCUUGGCAUUUUAUGAUAAAUGAAGAUGGGUAAUAUAAGGAAAAUUUGUCACUGACUUGGAGAUGGCCAGCAGAGACUACUUGGCAUCCUUUCAGUGGAAUCCUGGGAGUUAGCAGAAAGAUCCUCUGGAAUUAUGUAAUUCUAUAGGGAUGUGACCUUUGAUACUUUCAGGUUGUCUAUGCUUUUGGCAAAUCUGUGAGGAUAGAAGUUAAGUUGUAGAAAACUGAUAACAAUGUAAAUCAUUCCUGUUCAUGAUGAUGUAAAUUAAUUUUGUCCCAUAAGGAAAAUAAAUCUCUAUAAGUCACAUUUGAACCUGUUUUAGCAUCAUACUAGUUCUCUCACUAAUUAAUGACAUAAUCUUUGAUACAAGUUUAUUUUACAUUUGUAUAAGAGUCAUGAUUUUACCAUUUUGAAACUUACACUUUAACAAUAAAAUAUGUUCCUGCCUCUUAGAAGUCUGUAAUCUGAAAUGAGGAAAUACAUAUGCAUCAUAUCUAUAAUACAUAUCAAAAUUUGUUAAAUUCUCUGUAGGAACUUGAGAGUUCAUUAGAGAGAAGACUCCUACUGUUUAGAGAACAGAGAUUUCAAGGAAGGAUUAAGGCUGGCAUCCUGAUAGCAAAGGUGGAGACAAAGGAAAGCAUUCCAGAUAACUUUCAAAAGAAACUCAAACAUUCGGAAAUCAUUUUCACUACCAAGAAAGGAAGUUAAGAAAAAUAGUUAUUUCCAAGGUCUCCAGAAUCUGAAGCUCUGCUCCUGAGUUUAUAAAAUGUGGAUGACGUCUAUGAAACUAAGCUCGGGAAGUAUUUUGUCACAUAUUGUGUUGAAAGCUCAUAGGAAGAGGAAAGUUGGGCAGUUGUCUAAGUAUAGCGGAGGUUUAUGUGAAGGGAAUGUUGAACCAUGAGGCUCACAUAAGGCAACUGUCUUAAGAAUAAAUAAGUAGUAUGCUAUAAAUAGAUUAUCUACCAUGCUAAAUUAAAUAUGUUAUUGGCUUCUCCAAAUAAACAGACCCAUGGAUGUGUAUAUGGAGAAAGAGAGAGAGGGACAGAGAGAGAGAGAGUGUGAGAGAAUUUAUUUUUAAGAAAUUGGCUUGGCUCACGGAAUCAUGGAGGCUGGAGGCUGGCAAGUCCAAAAUCUGUAGUGUGGCCUGGUGGCCUGACAGGCUAGAGACCCAUGGAAGAGCUGAUGUCGCAAUUCAAGUCUGAAGACCAUCUGCUGACAGAAUUGCCUCUUGGGGAAGUCAGUCUUUGUUCUAGCAAGCACUUCAACUUAUUGGAUGAGGCCCACUCACAAUAGGAAGGCAACGUGCUUUACUCGAAAUCCAACUAUUUAAAUGUUAAUCUCAUCCAAAAAACACCCUUGCAGAAACAUCCAGAAUAAUGUGUGAUCAAAUGUCUGGGCCCCACGACCCAGCCAAGUUGACACAUAAGAUUAACCAUCAUACCAGGGGAUAGUUCCUCAAACUUGACAAGUCCUUCAACAUCUGUGGAUGCCACCUCUGAGGGAUAAAGGGAGGCAGAGAACAGAGCUGGCUAACAAAGGUCACUGGACAUCUUCCCACAUUCCCACUUUCUGAAGACAUCUCUAAACCAGAUCUUUUAAAAUUCUAAGCUAUGCAGAUGAAUUUUUAAAAUUGAAUAAUACUGGAUGAGUGUGACUCCUGGGAUGCUAUCCACUCAACCAUCUACUACACAAAGUUUAUACACAACUACAUCAUUCCCAGUAGGUCACACUUAUUAAUAAAUCAAGUGAAGACACAGUAAUGCUGUUCUUCUAAGACAUGUCCACAUUUUUCUUAAUGGCACUCAAAGAAAAUUAACCUAAAGAUUCACGCUUCUUAUUUUUUUGAGACAGAGUCUCACUCUGUCAACCAGGCUGGAGUGCAGUGGCACGAUCUCAGUUCACUGCAACCUCCACCUCCCGAGUUCAAACGAUUAUCCUGCCUCAGCCUCCCAAGUAGCUGUGAUUACAGGUGCACACCACCACACCCAGCUCAUUUUGUAUUUUUGGUAGAGACGGGUUUUCAUCAUGUUGGCCAGGCUGGCCUCGAACUCCUAACCUCAAGUAAUCCACCUGUCUCAGCCUUCUAAAGUGCUGGGAUUACAGGCAUGAGCUACCUCACCCAGCCCCAUGCUUCUAAAAUAGUUAUUAGCUUGAAAAAAAAUGGGGCCAGGCACAGCGGCCCAUGCCUGUAAUCCCAACACUUUGGGAGCCCGAGGUGGGCGAAUCACAAGUUCAGGAGUUUGAGACCAGCCUAGCCAAUAUGGUGAAACUCAGUCUCUGCCAAAAAUACAAAAAUCAGCUGGGUAUAGUGGCAGG
rnacentral:lncRNA from 1 species